AACUGGAGGCACGUGCAUGAGUGCCUCACACUGUUGGGUUGUUUUAUCAGUAGUGGAUGAGAAACAGUCACACACUGUCAAGAGCUUCUUCAACACUGAGACACAGAAGAAUUUUUGUUUUACGGGUAACGCUGGGAGGGAUCAAGGCAUUGUCAACUGACAUAUUAUGUGAGAAAGCAAAUUCUGCAUACUACAUUUUCUAAGAAAAAAAAAAAAAAGAAAGAACGAAGCAUUAAGCUGAGCACUGGAGUUUUCGUUCAAAAAGAAAUAAAGCUUAAGCAGCCUGACUCUUUUCAACCGAUGUACCACCAAAGUUGCCCACCAAAGGUUACCUGAAAAUACAUUUCUACCUUUCAAUGUGCCUUUAACCAAACAUCAAGACUAAAAGGACCUGAAGUGAAGAUGAGCUGAUCCCCUCCAUAACCACUUCACCGUCGCCCUGUUUUGCCAGAAGGUCUGCAGAUGAAUGGCCACUGGCGGAUAAGAAUGCUGUCAGCCGCAUCUGGAGCUGAAGUAUGAUGUUUAAAAUGUGCACAGUUUGAACAGAGCAUACAUCCUAGUUAAAACAGGACCUUCAGCUUCCUGAAGUUUAUCAAAAUAAAUCUGAUUUGAAAGUUAUUGCACAAUAAAUACUAGUACAGAAAGCAAAACAGGCCCUACUCCAUAUAUUAUGACACGCAUUUAAAAGUGAAGUCCAGACCAGGAAGAAAUAGUGUAAGCAGGGAUUUUACAAGAGGUUUGGUUUGAUUCAGGCAAUGAUUCACAAGUACAGGUACGCUAUGCAUCUGUAGAUGUUAAAUCCUUCUUAUUGAACCCCCUUUCUUUUCUAACUCAUAGUGCUUAAGUCCCACAACAGCUCUGUUGCGUACAGAUUAUUAUUCCCUUAGGUUGUUCAUAGGCAUCCUUUAUCUUACCAUCUAAUUACUAACAAAAAUAGAGAAAAUACAGUGGAUUACCGAAUUCAGCCUCUAGAGACAGUCAGUACUACAAGGGGGGGAGGCACAAUUUCAUUAGAUACUGAGAGCGGAUUGGGAAGGGUACGUAGCAGGGGAACAUUUUAGGAAGCAGACGGGAGUAGGAAGAGAGGAAGACAGGGUGGAAAAAUAGAAAUGAGGACCAGAUCUAAGCAACACCAGAGGGGAAUUCAGGCCAGGAAACCUGAAAACAAAACUCAUGCUAGUAUUUUUCAGAUACAUUUUGUAUAAUUCUAGUAUAAUGAAGGCAAUCUUUGAAACUGAGUUUUCUGUAUAUUGAUUUCUAACAGCUGACAUGAGCUUAAAAUAUCUUUUUAUGUAGGAGCAGUUCAACUUCCCCCCAAUAUGUUCUGUGCUUUCCUUCCUUCUAUCUCCCUGGGACUAAAAUCAGCUUCUUGAGGACAGUCCACCUCUUCCUCCUGCUGCCUUGUCUCCCACGCCCCCAGAGAGAGCCCUCUCUAACGUCACCUCUGAUGUCACUAGCAGAGGGCUAAGGCUGUAAAUAAAAGGCACGAGGUAACAGAAUUAGAAUGGGAACAAGUGAACUACCAAGAAACCAGGAGACUAUUUUCAAGGCAAUGCUUGUCUCCUUAGAGAUGAAAAAUGAGGAGGAGUCAGAUGAAGGAAAUCUGAGUGAUUAAAAAGUGAAUUGGUUUUCUAAUUUUUUUAAAAGGUUUUCAGGGAGAUUUCAGCAACUCUUUACAUUCUUAAUGAAGACACGGAAUUGAAGACGUGAAAUUGAAGAUUUAGUCUGGCUGUAAAAUUGUAUUUAGGUAUGCAUAUAAGAAAUGCAUACAGAAGAAUAUUCCUGUGGAAUUUUAUUCCUUGCAUUUGAUUACAAAAACAUUGGGGAAUGUGUUACUAUUAAUUGUGCAUAUAAAACAGGCCAUAAAUUUCCUUCUAAAAGCCUCUAAAAAACCCUAGGCGUGGCAGCAAUACUGCAACGGUGAGAAGGUUCAUUUUUACUCCUGUUAAUGCAAUAGGCCUCCACAGAGUCUGCUGCAGUAAAAGUCAAUUGAAAAGCCAAAAGAAUGGAACGGCUUAACUAUAUAUAUAAGACUGCAGUCACUUUGCAUUUUUCCUGAUGACAGAAAUAAUUAUAUCAUUUUCAAAAGCCUCAAAUAAGUUUGAGACUGGAACACCUACAAAUACAGGGUCUGUCCCAUGACCCCCGGUGUGAUGACACAAACCUUCUAACGUGGCCUUAGCAAACAACUAUCUUAAAAUGCAGUCAAUUUAAUGCGGUAAAUUGUCCAUCUGUUUUCUAGAUUGUUACCUGUCUCAGUUACUGUUAAUUUGGCUGUAUCACAUGUGUGUUCUCACUCUCAAAACACGUAGGAAAAUUAUAGAAUAGAAUCUAGUCAGAAGAAGGAACUGAACAUCAACAAUCUAUGAAAUAUGUAUAUAUUAUAUGUAUAUUUAAUAAGAAAUUUUAGAGGAUCUGCAUUAAUUAUACCUCCAUAUGUUGGUAUCUUUGUAUCAGCUGAACAGCAUAUUAUCAGUCAUACAUUACUAGUUAUGUAAUCAGCAUCUGGAGAGCAAACAACUCCGCAUCUAACUGCUAGGUAACAUUUACUUGGCAAUAAUCUGGAAUCACUCAAGACAUUAUAUUCUCUCACAUGCCUGUUACUGCCUUUUAGGUGAAGAAUAGUGCCUGUACAUUUGAACCUUGUAAGGUAAAACAUAUGAAUGCUCUUCACAUUCUUCAGUGUGAAGCCAGCUUGUUCAUUUAAGCACAUGAUGAAGGUGUUUUGAAGCAACUUAGCUGAUACAUAAUUGUCCGUACUUGGAAUGUAAAGUGGUAUUUUUGAGUUUCUGGCAAGAGGGAGAUUACUUAAUGUAAAAACUUGCAUUUUAAAAUGCUGUUAUAAACUAGGUUAUCAUUCUUGAUUUUAUAUCCCAAACUUUAGAACAGACCAUAUGGAAGAAAGAUUUACAUUUUUAACAUCACAUUAGUAGAGCAAGAGCUGUAGGAAAAGGGCCAGUGACAGGGAAACACAUCUUUAAAAAUAAUUACUUGUAGUAGCACUUAGAGCCUCCUAUGAGGUCUUCAUUUUGCUACAAGCUGUGACUUAAAAGCAGUUCUUUGAAGAGCAUAAUUUUGUUUUGUGAGAAGACAACAGGUAAAUCAGACAUGGUGGAAGGGAGCAAGUGAUACAGCCCCGAUUAGCUUAAUAAGCAGCAGAAUUGCCUGCAGCUGCUUCGCUGCACUUGCCUGAAUUGCAGCUUAGCAGCAAGUACUUCAGUUUUAGAAGGAAGAACACUACAAACAAGACUACUUUUUCAGCCAGACUUUUCCUGCUGACAAAAUGGUGGAACACAAGUAGUGCUCUCGGUUAAGGCCAUCUCAGCUUUGUAGAAGCAGCGCUCCCCACCCCAGCCUUAUUUAUGCAGUCUAGCCAACGCCAUGUGUUUUCUACUUGCAAACCCAAUUUCAGUGCUUCUCAGCACCUCACCUAUAUCCCCUAACAACAGAGGAAAGGUAUACUUCAAUUUUUAAUAAGCAGCAGCAACCUGAAAUUGGUGCAAGCUGCUUAGCUCUAGAUAAAGCAACAGCAGUUAAACCACAGUUAAACCCCUAAAGAGAGAAUGACUGAGAAUUGGGAGUGCAUCCAAAAACCUGCAGCAUUUAAUUGUCUCUCGUGAUAUAUACUGUAAGCAAGGUAUGACUACAGUCACACGCAACCUAAGAAAUGUUCAUCUCGAUUCCUCACUCUCUUUUUUCUUUGAAAACAAAGACAAUCCUGCUGUUCAAUUCCCCAUGCUGGAGACUUGGCUGCCUGCAGUGCCUUGCAGUAAAAUUGGAGGAGAGCUGAAGAUGGCUUUUGACUGAAGUCAUCAUAUUUCCACAUGGUAACUUUAGAAACAGGUGAAGAAACUUCAUAGAAUUGUUUGAGUUGGAAGGGACCCUUAAAGGCUGUUUGGUCCAACUCCCCUGC